rnacentral:rRNA from 1 species
UCCAGACUCCUACGGGAGGCAGCAGUGGGGGAUAUUGCACAAUGGGGGGAACCCUGAUGCAGCGACGCCGCGUGAGCGAAGAAGUAUUUCGGUAUGUAAAGCUCUAUCAGCAGGGAAGAAAAAAAUGACGGUACCUGAGUAAGAAGCACCGGCUAAAUACGUGCCAGCAGCCGCGGUAAUACGUAUGGUGCAAGCGUUAUCCGGAUUUACUGGGUGUAAAGGGAGCGUAGGCGGCGCGUUAAGUCUGAUGUGAAAACCCGAGGCUCAACCACGGGAGUGCAUUGGAAACUGGCGGGCUGGAGUGCCGGAGAGGUAAGCGGAAUUCCUAGUGUAGCGGUGAAAUGCGUAGAUAUUAGGAGGAACACCAGUGGCGAAGGCGGCUUACUGGACGGCAACUGACGCUGAGGCUCGAAAGCGUGGGGAGCAAACAGGAUUAGAUACCCGCGUA